rnacentral:rRNA from 1 species
AUUGAACGCUGGCGGCAGGCCUAACACAUGCAAGUCGAGCGAGCGGCGGACGGGUGAGUAAUGUUUGGGAAACUGCCUGAUGGAGGGGGAUAACUACUGGAAACGGUAGCUAAUACCGCAUACCAUCAGUUCUGCCCAGAUGGGAUUAGCUAGUAGGUGGGGUAACGGCUCACCUAGGCGACGAUCCAUAGCUGGUCUGAGAGGAUGACCAGCCACACUGGAACUGAGAAACGGUCCAGACUCCUACGGGAGGCAGCAGUGGGGAAUAUUGAACAAUGGGCGCAAGCCUGAUGCAGCCAUGCCGCGUGUGUGAAGAAGGCCUUCGGGUUGUAAAGCACUUUCAGCGGGGAGGCGUUACCCGCAGAAGAAGCACCGGCUAACUCCGUGCCAGCAGCCGCGGUAAUUC